rnacentral:rRNA from 3 species
UACGUAGGGUCCGAGCGUUGUCCGGAGUUACUGGGCGUAAAGCGCGCGCAGGCGGCGCGGUAAGCAUGGCGUGAAAGCCCCCGGCUCAACCGGGGAGGGUCGUCGUGGACUGCCGUGCUUGAGGGCGGUAGGGGCUGGUGGAAUUCCCGGUGUAGUGGUGAAAUGCGUAGAGAUCGGGAGGAACACCCGUGGCGAAGGCGGCCAGCUGGGCCGACCCUGACGCUGAGGCGCGAAGGCGUGGGGAGCGAACGGG